rnacentral:rRNA from 1 species
CCUACGGGUGGCAGCAGUGAGGAAUAUUGGUCAAUGGACGAGAGUCUGAACCAGCCAAGUAGCGUGAAGGAUGACUGCCCUAUGGGUUGUAAACUUCUUUUAUAUGGGAAUAAAAUGUUCCACGUGUGGGCUUUUGUAUGUACCAUAUGAAUAAGGAUCGGCUAACUCCGUGCCAGCAGCCGCGGUAAUACGGAGGAGCCGAGCGUUAUCCGGAUUUAUUUGGGUUAAAGGGAGCGUAGGCGGACUGUUAAGUCAGGUGUGAAAGCUUGCGGCUCAACCGGAAAAUUGCAGUUGAAACUGGCAGUCUUGAGUACAGUAGAGGUGGGCAGAAUUCGUGGUGUAGCGGUGAAAUGCGUAGAUAUCACGAAGAACUCCGAUUGCGAAGGCAGCUCACUGGACUGCAACUGACACUGAGGCGCGAAAGCGUGGGUAUCAAACAGGAUUAGAUACCCGUGUAGUC